rnacentral:rRNA from 1 species
AGGACGAACGCUGGCGGCGUGCUUAACACAUGCAAGUCGAGCGGAAAGGCCCUUUCGGGGGUACUCGAGCGGCGAACGGGUGAGUAACACGUGAGUAACCUGCCUCUGGCUUUGGGAUAACCCUCGGAAACGGGGGCUAAUACCGAAUAUUCAUUCUCGCAGGCAUCUGUGGGGUUGGAAAGUUUUUCGGCCAGGGAUGGGCUCGCGGCCUAUCAGCUUGUUGGUGGGUAAUGGCCUACCAAGGCUUCGACGGGUAGCCGGCCUGAGAGGGCGACCGGGCCACGACCGU